GUCCUUUAGAUUUUAUUUAAGGUCUAGCCUGCCCACUGAAUUUUAAAUGGCCGCAGUACACUAACUGUGCAAAGGUAGCAUAAUAAUUAGUCUUUUAAUUGAAGGCUGGAAUGAAUGGCUGGACGAGGUAUUAACUGUUUCAUUUAAAAUUAGGAUAAAACUUUAUUUUUCAGUCAAAAAGCUGAAAUCUAAUUAAAAGACGAGAAGACCCUAUAAAUCUUUACAUUUUAUAUAAGUUUAAAUUACAGAAAUUUUAAAGAAAUUUAUAAAAAAAUGUUUUAUUGGGGUGAUAUUAAAAUUUGUAAAACUUUUAAAAUUUUAACCAUUAAUUUAUGAAUAAAUGAUCCGUAAAAACGAUUAAUAAUUUAAGUUACUUUAGGGAUAACAGCGUAAUUUUUUUGGAGAGUUCUUAUCGAUAAAAAAGAUUGCGACCUCGAUGUUGGAUUAAGGUUAAAGUUUAG
rnacentral:rRNA from 1 species